UAGGGAUGCUCCGGUGCCCUAGCCUCCUUCCCGCUCCAUUUGCCUCUUGUCCUCCCUCUCCCGCCGCUGGUAGCUAGUCUCUCCUGUUGUCAUCGCAAUGGCCACAGGGAGCUCGAGCUCCUCUCCCCCAUGAAGCCAGCUGUUGUGGGAGCAGCUCGGGUGCAUCAUCAUGGGCGUCUUCUUCAUCACCGCCGGUGUCGUCUGCGCCAAGGGACUAUCGUGCCGUCUGCCUCAUCCUCGUCAACAUCGUCGUCGUCUCGGGAGGAGUUGCAGCCGCGUCGCCACGUCGUCGCCGCUUCGGCCACACUGCGCCGCGCACCUCCUUGUCGUUCCGCUCAUUGGGUGCUGAUAACGAGUGUGAGGAUUCCGUUGAGUACGUUCUGGAAGAUCAAGAGCAGUGUCAGUCAGAAGAUCCAACAGGCAAGAUGAUUGUGACCAUGAUAUCGUUUCUAAUUUUGUUAUGCCUAGAUGAAUCAUUUCCAUCGUUAAUUACCGCUGCCUGCCACCUGAAUAUUAAGCCUUCAAACAUUGCCUUGAAAACCUCUAACCCUUCACCUCCUAGCAAAACAUUGAAUGGCUAAUUUAGCGCUUGCUCAACCAUCUUAUAGCAUUGUUAGUUGCA